rnacentral:rRNA from 1 species
AUACGUAGGGUGCGAGCGUUAAUCGGAAUUACUGGGCGUAAAGCGUGCGCAGGUGGUUUUGUAAGUCAGAUGUGAAAUCCCCGGGCUUAACCUGGGAACUGCGUUUGAAACUGCAAGGCUAGAGUGUGGCAGAGGGGGGUGGAAUUCCGCGUGUAGCAGUGAAAUGCGUAGAGAUGUGGAGGAACACCGGUGGCGAAGGCAGCCCCCUGGGUCAACACUGACGCUCAGGCACGAAAGCAUGGGGAGCAAACAGGAGUAGAAACCCCAGUAGUCC